GAAUAGAGUUUACUCCGAGCCGGUUUCACCUAAAGGGAAUUCCAUGGUAACCGGCCAGGGCUUAUAGCCCUCAGGGUAUGUCUGGAAACGGAUAUGCCUUCACGUUUGAAAAGGAGGUGGUUAGUUCAUGGC
rnacentral:ncRNA from 2 species